rnacentral:rRNA from 1 species
UACGUAGGGGGCAAGCGUUGUCCGGAGUUACUGGGCGUAAAGCGCACGCAGGCGGUCUCCUAAGUUUGGCGUGACAGUUGGUGGCUUAACUGCCAAAGUGCUUCGAAAACUGAGAGACUUGAGGGCUUCAGAGGGACACGGAAUUCCGGGUGGAGUGGUGAAAUGCGUAGAGAUCCGGAGGAACACCAAAGGCGAAGGCAGUGUCCUGGGAAGUACCUGACGCUCAGGUGCGAAAGCCAGGGGAGCGAACGGG